GCCUCUGUGGAUCAAGGUUAGAUCACCUCGAUGUUGUGAAUUCACUUUUCAUGUACAUGAGGAGAUAUGGGUUCAAAUCCCACCAGAGGCA